rnacentral:lncRNA from 1 species
GGAGAGCGGUGCUGAAGGUCACUGUUGCGGCGCUCGUGCCAUUUCCGAAACCCUAGGGUUUCCUAUUCGUUUUGGUUUUGGGGAUCUGUUUACGUCGGGUUUAGGGUCUUUUUUUGAAAUUGGGCCUCUGUAACUUGGGUUUGUAACUAUGGACUGAUGGACUUGUUUUUAUUUUUAUUUUUUAUAUAUUUUUGUUUAUUCUGAAUGGGCCCCAGCAAAUUGGGCUAUUACAUGAUUCAAUUGCAUUUCCUUUUCCUGGUAAAUGUUAAUUGUUUUCUCUAGUUGGCAUAUGAUUAAUGCCAGUCUUAUCACACACGUCACAAUUUCUUCUCCGCCACGUUUUAACCUAGCUGAUUCAAU